rnacentral:rRNA from 1 species
UACAGAGGGUGCGAGCGUUAAUCGGAAUUACUGGGCGUAAAGCGUGCGUAGACGGUUAUUUAAGUCGGAUGUGAAAGCCCCGGGCUCAACCUGGGAAUUGCAUUCGAGACUGAAUAGCUAGGGUACGGUAGAGGGAAGUGGAAUUUCCGGUGUAGCGGUGAAAUGCGUAGAUAUCGGAAGGAACAUCGAGUGGCGAAAGCGAACUUCCUGGACCAGUACCGACCGUUCAGGCACGAAAGCGUGGGGAGCAAAGCAGGAAUUGAGAGUACCCCGACG